UACGUAGGGUGCGAGCGUUGUCCGGAAUUACUGGGCGUAAAGAGCUCGUAGGUGGUUUGUCGCGUUGUUCGUGAAAACUCACAACUCAAUUGUGGGCGUGCGGGCGAUACGGGCAGACUGGAGUACUGCAGGGGAGACUGGAAUUCCUGGUGUAGCGGUGGAAUGCGCAGAUAUCAGGAGGAACACCGGAGGCGAAGGCGGGAUCCUGGGCCAGUACUGACGCUGAGGAGCGAAAGCGUGGGGAGCAAACAGG
rnacentral:rRNA from 1 species